UUUUCUCGGCCACCGUCUCUCUCUCUCUCUCUAUAAAUAAGUGGUGAGAUAAACGCGGAGGCGUCGAUUUCCCUCCUUCCAAUCUUCAUCACUCUUUGUUUUUCGCGAGGAAUUGGAAUCGAAUUUCUCGGUCUCAGGUCGGAGAACUCUUUGGAUUUCUCUUCUUGGUUUGAAGUUUGAUUUCUUGCGUUCCUCCGUUGGUAGAACCGACGUAAAAUUUGACAUCCGACUUGCUUCUGACGGGCACAAUGGUAGAUUCAAGCAAGGAUGUAAAUGGGGGCUUCCCAGGUGACAAGAAGAUCACAGUUGUUUUUGUGUUAGGUGGGCCUGGCAGUGGAAAAGGCACCCAGUGUGCAAAAAUUGUUGAAAACUUUGGUUUCACUCAUCUUAGUGCUGGUGAUCUUCUGCGUGCAGAAAUCAAGUCUGGUUCAGAAAAUGGUUCAAUGAUCUCCAGCAUGAUAAAGGAAGGCAAAAUUGUCCCUUCUGAGGUUACUGUUGAACUUCUACAAAAGGCUAUGCUUGAGAGUGGAAACGAUAAAUUUCUUAUUGAUGGCUUUCCUCGAAAUGAAGAGAAUCGUGCUACUUUUGAGAAUGUUACAAAAAUUGAGCCAGAAUUUAUACUUUUUUUUAAUUGUCCAGAGGAAGAGAUGGAACAGAGACUUUUGAGUCGCAACCAGGGGAGAGAUGAUGAUAACAUUGAGACCAUAAGGAAGCGUUUUAAAGUUUUUGUUGAAUCCAGUAUACCUGUAGUCGAGUAUUAUGACAUGAAGGGCAAGGUUCGGAAGGUCUGUUUUAACAUAAUGCACCCUUUUUGAGCAGCUUGAGGCUAAGAAAUCCGUGAUCUGAGGCUGAGUGGUUCUGGCUCAUCUUGGUCCAAUCAUACACACAUGCAUGCUCAUUUAAGUGUGCUUACACUUGCGCGCGCACACACAAUUCGACCUUUUUCCAGUUUGAUUGGAGCUAAGAAAUUCAUGGUCUAACUUCUAAGGCUGAGUUGAUGCUCUGAAGCCUAUUGAUGAGGUCUUUGAAGCUGUAAAAGCUGUUUUCGACCCAUUUCAUGUGAAAGUUGAGUAGAGAUGCUGUGGACUGCGGUGAUAAUAACCUGCAUUAUAUUACACGUAUGCUGCUUUGUUGGAUAGCAUUGUUGAUCAAGUUUUCAGCUUAAGCAUCUGACUGCUUAGUAAAUGUUGAUCUUAUUUUACUGUAGAAAAAAUAAAUCUUUAUACAUCACAAAAUUACCUGAAAUUGUUGUACAUCUUUAGUAAUUUAUUUUACCAGGAAUAAUCUUCAUGGA